rnacentral:lncRNA from 1 species
GAUGGACAAAAUAUAUGUGGUCCAUCGAAAACUCAUUUUGACAGAAUUCAAGAGACAACUCUGAUGCGUGUCCUCUAACUCCGAUGCGUGUCCACUGUGGACGUUCUAUAGAAUGACACAAAUAAAAUUUUGAUUUAUUUAGGGGCACAAUGUAAACCAGAUCUGUACAAAUUGGUGGGUGCUAAUGAAGGACAAAUAGAGAGAUUUUGUGGAAGUUGUGGGUGGCGAAGAAGCAGAGACAAAAAAACGAUAGACAAAAAAAAAAAAAAAAAAUCUCGUCCACAAGAUCUAGUCCAUUACAUCUGAUCUGCCGAAUCUUGUCCAUCUACAGAAAAAAGUAUUGUCCAUCGCCGAAAAAUAUAUCUGGUCUAUGGUCCGCCAGGAACUGACUAUGGUCCGCCUGAACUCGUCCGCCAGAUCUGGUCUAUCGGAACUCGUCUUCCUGUUGGGUCGAAACUGGUCCGUCGAAUCUGGUCUGCUUGAACUGGUUAUAGUUCAUCAUAACCGACUGUGGUCUGUCAGAACUCGUCCGCUGGAGUUAUGGUCGGUCGGAACUGGUCCGUCGAAUCUGGUCUGCUGAAUCUGAACCAGAAUUGCUAUGGUCCGCCGGAUCUGGUCUGUCGAAACUGGUCCGUCGGAUUUGGUCUGUCGAAUCUGGUCUGUCGAAUCUGGUCCGUCGGAGUUCGUCCGCCGGAUUUUGUCUGUCGGAUCUGGUCUGCUGGAAUUGUUUGUUGUUGGAAGAAGAAAAAGAAGAUGAAGAAAAGAAAGAGAUAAUGAAAAAAAAAUUGAACAGUCACGAGACAGAGCAGCCCAUUUCAUCCAGGGAUAUGUUGGUCUUUUUACAUAGCUCUUGUGGCAGGCGGGAGAAGAGAAUUAUAGAAAUGGUAUUUCUUAAGAGUUUGGUCACUGUACAUGGCAGUAUUAAUAAUUUUCUCGCAAAUUAUUUACGACAGGAUUAAUUUAUUUUUUGACAGCUCGAAAGGAUCAACAAAUAUCUAUCUUAACAUUUUUGAAG